rnacentral:rRNA from 1 species
AUAACGGUCCUAAGGUAGCGAAAUUCCUUGUCAGGUAAGUUCUGACCCGCACGAAUGGCGUAAUGACUUGGGCACUGUCUCAACUGCAAAUCCGGCGAAGUUGUAGUGCGAGUGAAGAUGCUCGCUACCCGCGAUUGGACGGAAAGACCCCGUAGAGCUUUACUGUAGCUUAGCAUUGAAUUCCGGUAUUGUCUGUACAGGAUAGGUGGGAGACUGGGAAACUAGGGCGUCAGCCUUAGUGGAGUCAACCUUGGGAUACCACCCUGACAGUACUGGGGUUCUAACAGGACGCCAUGAAACUGGUGACUGGACAUUGUUAGGUGGGCAGUUUGACUGGGGCGGUCGCCUCCUAAAAAGUAACGGAGGCGCCCAAAGGUUCCCUCAGAACGGUCGGAAAUCGUUCGUAGAGUGCAAAGGCAGAAGGGAGCCUGACUGCGAGACCUACAAGUCGAGCAGGGACGAAAGUCGGGCUUAGUGAUCCGGUGGUACCUCGUGGGAGGGCCAUCGCUCAACGGAUAAAAGCUACCUCGGGGAUAACAGGCUGAUCUCCCCCAAGAGUCCACAUCGACGGGGAGGUUUGGCACCUCGAUGUCGGCUCAUCGCAUCCUGGGGCUGUAUUCGGUCCCAAGGGUUUGGCUGUUCGCCAAUUAAAGCGGUACGCGAGCUGGGUUCAGAACGUCGUGAGACAGUUCGGUCCCUAUCCGUCGCGGGCGCAGGAAAUUUGAGAGGAUCUGUCCUUAGUACGAGAGGACCGGGAUGGACAUACCGCUGGUGUACCAGUUGUUCUGCCAAGGGCAUCGCUGGGUAGCUAUGUAUGGAUGAGAUAAACGCUGAAAGCAUCUAAGUGCGAAACUCACCUCGAGAUAAGAUUUCCCACUCCUUUAUGGAGUUAAGACCCCUGAGAGAUGAUCAGGUAGAUAGGAUGGAAGUGGAAGUGCGGCGACGCAUGGAGCGGACCAUUACUAAUCGGUCGAGGACUUAACCAA